rnacentral:rRNA from 1 species
CCUACGGGAGGCUGCAGUGAGGAAUAUUGGUCAAUGGACGAGAGUCUGAACCAGCCAAGUAGCGUGAAGGAUGACUGCCCUAUGGGUUGUAAACUUCUUUUAUAUGGGAAUAAAAUGUUCCACGUGUGGCUUUUUGUAUGUACUUUAUGAAUAAGGAUCGGCUAACUCCGUGCCAGCAGCCGCGGUAAUACGGAGGAUCCGAGCGUUAUCCGGAUUUAUUGGGUUUAAAGGGAGCGUAGGUGGAUUGUUAAGUCAGUUGUGAAAGUUUGCGGCUCAACCGUAAAAUUGCAGUUGAUACUGGCAGUCUUGAGUACAGUUGAGGUGGGCGGAAUGCGUGGUGUAGCGGUGAAAUGCUUAGAUAUCACGAAGAACUCCGAUUGCGAAGGCAGCUUACUAAACUGCAACUGACACUGAGGCUCGAAAGUGUGGGUAUCAAACAGGAUUAGAUACCCCUGUAGUC